UGAUUUGAGUCUCUGGGAGAAGGGGCGUGGCCGCCUUGUGGCAGGCCUGCUCUGGGGCCUGGCAGGGACAGGGACAUCUCAGAAGGACUCCCUGGAGAGCCCCUCUCCCCUCUCAUCCACACUCAGACCAGAGGGCCCUCCGCCUGCCCCGACCCCACCAUGAGCCCCUGCCUCCUGGGCUGUGUGGUCUUCUGUCUCCUGCAGGCAGGGGCGGUCCACGCUGGUGUCACCCAGGACCCCAGAUUCCAGGUCGUGAGGACAGGACAGAGCGUGACACUUAAGUGUACUCAGGAUCUGGGUCAUAACUCUAUGUUCUGGUACCGACAAGACCCGGGACACCGGCUGAGGCUGAUCCAUUACUCUGCUGCUGCGCCCAAUAGCGAACCAGGAGAUUUGCCCGAGGGUUACAGCGUCUCCAGAUCAAACAAAGAGAAGUUCCCUCUGACGCUGAUGUCUGCCAACCGCUCCCAGACAUCUGUGUACUUCUGCUCCAGCAGUUACUCCACGGCGCUGCACGGCCACCUCCUCUCUGUGCAAAAAGCGGGCAGGACAUUCGUCUCCCCACCUCUCUGCAUCAGCUCCCUGGCCCUCUCUCCCAUAGCCACAGGCUCCUCCCUCAUCUGA